rfam:Gossypium hirsutum cultivar TM-1 unplaced genomic scaffold scaffold2142.1, whole genome shotgun sequence
AAUCCAUGAUGAGAUCCCUUUCUCAAAAGAUCAUUAAAUCUCUCCCAUGCAUUAUAUAAUGCCUCUCAAUCAAUUUGAGCAAAAUAAGAGAUAUCAUUCCUCAACUU